GACGAACGCUGGCGGCGUGCCUAAUACAUGCAAGUAGAACGCAGUUGCGAACGGGUGAGUAACGCGUAGGUAACUACCGCAUAGCGGGGGAUAACUAUUGGAAACGAUAGCUAAUACCGCAUAUUAUGAGAUGGACCUGAGUUUUGUUAGCGAGUUGGUGAGGUAACGGGCCACCAAGGCGACGGUACAUUGCCUACCUGAGAGGGUGAUCGGCCACACUGGGACUGGGACACUGCCCAGACUCCUACCGGGGGCAACAGUAGGGAAUCAUCGGCAAUGGGCGGAAAUCUUACCGAACAACGCCGCCUGAUUGUAGAAAGUUUUCGGGUCGUAAAGCUCUGUUGUUAGAGGAGCGGUAACUAACCAGAAAGGACCGGCUAACUACGUGCCAGCAGCCGCGGUAAUAC
rnacentral:rRNA from 1 species